GCAGUGUGUAGGAAGAUAUGUGCUUCUGGCAGUGACAUCACAGGCCAGCCUACUUAGGAAUACACUUAAUAAAAAACAGAUGUAGGAGAAACUCUGUCUCUUUGCCUGUACCUGACUGAACCUAAGAUGUAGUACCAGCUCUGACUUAACCCCAGCCAAAGGGCUGGGGCCUUGUAAGUAAUAUGAAUCCAUUGUAACAUUUAGC